UACGGGGGGGGCAAGCGUUGUUCGGAAUUACUGGGCGUAAAGGGCUCGUAGGCGGCCAACUAAGUCAGACGUGAAAUCCCUCAGCUUAACCGGGGAACUGCGUCUGAUACUGGAUGGCUUGAGGUUGGGAGAGGGAUGCGGAAUUCCAGGUGUAGCGGUGAAAUGCGUAGAUAUCUGGAGGAACACCGGUGGCGAAGGCGGCAUCCUGGACCAAUUCUGACGCUGAGUGAGCGAAAGCCAGGGGAGCAAACGGG
rnacentral:rRNA from 1 species